rnacentral:lncRNA from 1 species
GGGCCCAGCUUGGGAGAUGCAAUGUCCACCAACACAUCAAACUUUCAUUCACAAGCAUGCUGCAGCAGUGAGGAGGUGCACACGGGUUGGCUGGAAUUAAAGUNCAGUUGAAGCAUCUCANAUGAUCUUGCAUGCCANGGCNUGCACCNAUUUUCCAAUUAACACANUCCUUCACUUGAGCUCCACACGAACACUUUCUUUGGGUUGGAGAAGAAGAAAUCGAGNAGCUUGGUUGCAGCACCACCUCUACACGNACAGAAACACUUCUCGGUCCAGCCUUU